UACGAAGGGUGCAAACGUUGCUCGGAAUCAUUGGGCGUAAAGCGCACGUAGGCGGUCUGUUAUGUCGGAUGUGAAAGCCCUCGGCUCAACCGAGGACGUGCAUCCGAAACUGCGAAGCUUGAGUACUGAAGAGGAUCGCGGAAUUCCCGGUGUAGAGGUGAAAUUCGUAGAUAUCGGGAGGAACACCCGUAGCGAAGGCGGCCGACUGGACCACACCUGACGCUGAGGCGCGAAGGCCAGGGGAGCGAA
rnacentral:rRNA from 1 species